rnacentral:rRNA from 1 species
GGCGAUGGGGGCUACCUGCAGUCGACGGAGCCUUUCGGGGCUUAGUGGCGGACGGGUGAGUAACGCGUGAGGAUCUGGCCUUAGGACGGGGACAACAUUGGGAAACCGAUGCUAAUACCGGAUGAGCCGAGAGGUAAAAUAUUUUAUAGCCUAGGGAUGAACUCGCGUCUGAUUAGCUAGUUGGUGGGGUAAGAGCCUACCAAGGCGACGAUCAGUAGCUGGUCUGAGAGGAUGAUCAGCCACACUGGGACUGAGACACGGCCCAGACUCCUACGGGAGGCAGCAGUGGGGAAUUUUCCGCAAUGGGCGCAAGCCUGACGGAGCAACGCCGCGUGCGGGAGGACGGUUUGUGGACUGUAAACCGCUUUUAAUAGGGAAGAAUAACUGACGGUACCUAUUGAAUCAGCAUCGGCUAACUCCGUGCCAGCAGCCGCGGUAAUACGGAGGAUGCAAGCGUUAUCCGGAAUUAUUGGGCGUAAAGGGUCCGCAGGUGGCCAUACAAGUCAGCUGUUAAAGACUGGGGCUUAACCCCGGGAGAGCAGAUGAAACUGUGUAGCUAGAGUACGGUAGGGGUAGAGGGAAUUCCUAGUGUAGCGGUGAAAUGCGUAGAUAUUAGGAAGAACACCAGUGGCGAAGGCGCUCUACUGGGCCUGUACUGACACUGAGGGACGAAAGCUAGGGGAGCGAAAGGGAUUAGAUACCCCUGUAGUCCUAGCUGUAAACGAUGGAUACUAGGUGUUGCACGUAUCGACCCGUGCAGUAUCGUAGCCAACGCGUUAAGUAUCCCGCUUGGGGAGUACGCACGCAAGUGUGAAACUCAAAGGAAUUGACGGGGGCCCGCACAG